UACGAAGGGUGCAAACGUUGCUCGGAAUUAUUGGGCGUAAAGCGCACGUAGGCGGCUUUGCAAGUCGGAUGUGAAAUCCCUCGGCUUAACCAAGGAAGUGCAUCCGAAACUGCAGAGCUUGAGUACUUAAGAGGAUCGCGGAAUUCCCGGUGUAGAGGUGAAAUUCGUAGAUAUCGUGAGGAACACCAGUGGCGAAGGCGGCGAUCUGGGAAGAUACUGACGCUGAGGUGCGAAAGCGUGGGGAGCAAACAGG
rnacentral:rRNA from 1 species